rnacentral:lncRNA from 1 species
GCUGGUCUUGCUGCCUCUGUGUGUGGCUUGUCUGUCCCGCAAGUCUAUGUGUCAGUACUCCUGGGAGACCAGUAAGUCCAAGAGGAAUUUAGAUAUGGCGAGCUGUGGUAUGGGGUCAGCUCUGGUUUGCAGAUAGAGACCAGAAGGAUUCUGUUCCCAGCUGAUCCUAGGUUCCUAUGUCUGAGUGGCACUGGGAAGGUCCCUCUUGGGCUAGGAAUUUGAAGAGAAGUGGUGGUCUUACCUGUGCUCACAGGUGUGUAGGCACUCCUGCUAGACCAGCUUUCUCCUGGCUGUA